rnacentral:rRNA from 1 species
CCUACGGGUGGCUGCAGUGAGGAAUAUUGGUCAAUGGCCGGAAGUCUGAACCAGCCAAGUCGCGUGAGGGAUGACUGCCCUAUGGGUUGUAAACUUCUUUUAUAUGGGAAUAAAAUAUUCCACGUGUGGCAUUUUGUCUGUACCUUAUGAAUAAGGAUCGGCUAACUCCGUGCCAGCAGCCGCGGUAAUACGGAGGAUCCGGGCGUUAUCCGGAUUUAUUGGGUUUAAAGGGAGGGUAGGUGGAUUUUUAAGGUAGUUGUUAAAGUUUGGGGAUUAACCGUAAAAUUGCAAUUGAAACUGGCAGUCUCGAGUACAGUAGAGGUAGGCGGAAUAAGUGGAGUAGCGGUGAAAUGCUUAGAUAUAACGAAGAACUCCGAUAGCGAAGGCAGCUUACUAGACUGCAACUGACACUGAGGCUCGAAAGCGUGGGUAGCAAACAGGAUUAGAUACCCGUGUAGUC